UACGGGAAGGGCAAGCGUUAUUCGGAAUUACUGGGUGUAAAGGGUGCGUAGAUGGUUAAAAAUAACUAAAAUAUAAAAAGUAGUGCCCAACAUUAUUAAGCGUUUUAGUAUUUUUUAUCUUGAGUUUAAAAGACGAUUAUAGAAUUUUAGGUGUAGCAGUAAAAUGCGUAAAGAUCAGAUAGAACACCAAUGGCGAAGGCAGUCAACUGGUCCGUUACUGACGCUAAAGCACGAAAGUGUGGGGAGCGAACAGG
rnacentral:rRNA from 1 species